rnacentral:rRNA from 1 species
AGAGUUUGAUCCUGGCUCAGGAUGAACGCUAGCUACAGGCUUAACACAUGCAAGUCGAGGGGCAUCAGGAAGAAAGCUUGCUUUCUUUGCUGGCGACCGGCGCACGGGUGAGUAACACGUAUCCAACCUGCCCUUUACUCGGGGAUAGCCUUUCGAAAGAAAGAUUAAUACCCGAUAGCAUAAUGAUUCCGCAUGGUUUCAUUAUUAAAGGAUUCCGGUAAAGGAUGGGGAUGCGUUCCAUUAGGUUGUUGGUGAGGUAACGGCUCACCAAGCCUUCGAUGGAUAGGGGUUCUGAGAGGAAGGUCCCCCACAUUGGAACUGAGACACGGUCCAAACUCCUACGGGAGGCAGCAGUGAGGAAUAUUGGUCAAUGGGCGCUAGCCUGAACCAGCCAAGUAGCGUGAAGGAUGAAGGCUCUAUGGGUCGUAAACUUCUUUUAUAUAAGAAUAAAGUGCAGUAUGUAUACUGUUUUGUAUGUAUUAUAUGAAUAAGGAUCGGCUAACUCCGUGCCAGCAGCCGCGGUAAUACGGAGGAUCCGAGCGUUAUCCGGAUUUAUUGGGUUUAAAGGGAGCGUAGGUGGACUGGUAAGUCAGUUGUGAAAGUUUGCGGCUCAACCGUAAAAUUGCAGUUGAUACUGUCAGUCUUGAGUACAGUAGAGGUGGGCGGAAUUCGUGGUGUAGCGGUGAAAUGCUUAGAUAUCACGAAGAACUCCGAUUGCGAAAGCAGCUCACUGGACUGCAACUGACACUGAUGCUCGAAAGUGUGGGUAUCAAACAGGAUUAGAUACCCUGGUAGUCCACACAGUAAACGAUGAAUACUCGCUGUUUGCGAUAUACAGUAAGCGGCCAAGCGAAAGCAUUAAGUAUUCCACCUGGGGAGUACGCCGGCGACGGUGAAACUCAAAGGAAUUGACGGGGG